GCCGGGACGCGCCGCGAUGCAGCGGGCGGCGGGCGAGGGCCGGCCCCUGCUGCCGGCGGCGGGGCGCUCCGCCGGGCUCUCCUCGCCCGGGCUCUCCUCAGCCGGCGCCGUCUUCAUCCUGCUCAAGUCUGCGCUGGGCGCGGGGCUGCUGAGCUUCCCCUGGGCCUUCGGCAGGGCCGGCGGGGCCGUCCCCGCCCUCCUGGUGGAGCUGGGCUCGCUGGUGUUCCUGGUGAGCGGGCUGGCGGUGCUGGGCUAUGCCGCGGCCCUCAGCGCCCAGCCCACCUACCAGGCUGUGGUCCGGGCUGUGUGCGGGGCUGCCGUGGGGAAGCUCUGUGAGGUCUGCUUCCUCCUCAACCUCUUCAUGAUCUCCGUGGCUCUCCUCAGGGUGGUGGGUGACCAGCUGGAGAAACUGUGUGACUCCCUGUACCCCAAUGGGACACUGAAUGGGGUCCCCCAGCUGCCCCCCUGGUAUGUGGACCAGCGCUUCACCCUCUCAGCUCUCUGUGUCCUCGUCAUCUUCCCGCUCUCUGUCCCCAGGGAGAUCGGCUUCCAGAAGUACUCCAGCAUCCUGGGCACACUGGCUGCCUGCUACCUCACUCUGGUCAUCAUCCUGAAGUACUACCUGCAGGCAGAGAGCCUGCGUUUGACUGAGCCCCCCCAGCCCUCCAGGUUCUCCUCCUGGACCUCCAUCUUCAGUGUCAUUCCCACCAUCUGCUUUGGCUUCCAGUGCCACGAGGCAUGUGUGGCCAUCUACAGCAGCAUGCGCAACCAGAGCUUCUCCCACUGGGUCACCGUCUCUGUGCUCUCCAUGCUCAUCUGCCUGCUCAUCUACUCCCUCACUGGUAACCCCAGCACCAAACCCUUCACUUCUUGCCCUGGGGGUCUCCUCUCCCCUCGGCUCAUCCAUCCUUCUCAGAAUUCCUCUGUCCUGCUCACUGCAUGGCCACCCACCCCCACCUCCCUGUCAGCAGGGCUCUAUGGCUACCUGACCUUUGGUGAGGCUGUGGCAUCCGAUGUCCUGAUGUCCUACCCAGGGAAUGACCUGGUUGUCAUUGUGGCUCGCCUGCUCUUUGGCGUCUCCAUUGUCACCAUUUACCCCAUUGUGGUGCUGCUGGGCAGAUCCGUGGUGAAGGACUUGUGGGCAGCCCCGAAGCGCGGGGCCGUGGCGGAGUGUGAGGCACGCGAGCGGCGCAGCCGGGUGGCACUGACGGUCACCUGGAUGGCUGCCACGCUGGCCAUCGCCCUCUUCGUCCCCGACAUCGGCAAAGUCAUCGAACUCAUCGGGGGCAUCAGCGCCUUCUUCAUCUUCAUCUUCCCAGGGCUGUGCCUCGUGUGCAUGACUGGGACCCACAGCCUUGGGCCACGCAAAAAGUGAGUGUGUGCGUUCAGCAGCGGUGGGGGCGAGGGAAGGGGCAGGGUGUGGGAUCCCAUGGGCCAUGGCCCAGGCAGAUCCCGGGGGGUCACCCUGGUCAAGGUGGGAACCCUGUAAGGAAGGGGAUGUGGGUGUGGAGGGAAGUGCUCUACUGGGGCUAUACCAGGGCUGUGUCCAGGCAUCAAGGAGGUGCCCAGGUACCAGAGUGACUUUAGGGACAGAAGAGCUGUGGGGUUUGGUGGCACUGGGAGGUGUCCCAGUGUGGGCUGGGGUGGAGGUCAGAGGGGCAGGGUGCCCCAAGACAGGAGGCCAUCAGGAGUUUGGCACCUGUUUUGCCAGGGUGGUGUGUCCUAUCACCACUCCUGUCUAGAGGGGCCAGGGCACAGCUGCAGCCCAUGUCAGGGGGACCUGACAUGGUGCUGGUGAAAGUUUUGGGAUAAGUGUGUGCUUAAGCAUGUCUGUGGUGCCCCUGGGGGAGCAGCAGAGUCUGAGUGAGGAUGGAGGUUGUGUGGUGGGUGGAAGAAGCACCCCAGGACAUUGGGAUCUUGGUUAGAAGGGUGCUCUGGGGGGGCCCAUGGACAUGUGGGGAGGAGUGAGGGUGCUGCAAAGGGUGCCAGAGUGCAGGAGGGGCCAAGGCAGAAGGUUAGCAGGGGCACCCAGGUGGGUGACAAAGGCUUGGAGAGGUCCCCUGGGGAGACCUGCCAGAGUAUGAGCCUGUCAUGAGAAGAGGGGACAACACGAGCUGGGGCGAUGGAGACUGCAAGGGCGCAGUCCCAGCCUGCCUGGGACAGUUCGGGAAGGAUCACGGUGCUGAGGACCCUGUGACAGAGCAGCAGCUGGGUUUGGGUGGAAACUGGGGUUGGCCCAGAGGGGCUGCUGGGCUCUUCAGCCAUCGACUGGGAAUGAUGCAGAGCAGCAAGGCAGAGGAAGCUGGACCCUGCAGAGAGCUCCAGAGGAGCUGGGGUACAGAGGUGGCCCGCUACUGAGGCCAGCUCUACCCCGGCAGCCUCUGCUGUGUCGCUGCAGGGCUGCUCUCAUCGCCUGGGGCGUUCUCUCCGUUCUGGGCGGUGCCUUCGUGUGCGGGCAGAGCGCUGCCCUGGCCGUGCUGGGGCUGCUGCGCUGAGCGACCACAGAGCCCGCCGAGACCCCCCCGCCAUCCUCCCGGACACACACCCCCAACACAGCCACACCGCUGGAUCCCAUGGUGGUUUUAUUUGGAGUCGCCGUCCCAUUGUACAGUGGCUAAUAAAGACAGGAGAGGGUA